AAAUAACAUAAAUAAUUUUGUCUUUUGUCAGUUUUGACAACCUUCUAAUAAUAUUCAUGAAAUUCAACCCAAAUUCCAGGCAGAUCAAACAAAGAGAAUUAUACUUCAAGACUGGACAGAUUCGGUGGCUUGAAGAUCUCCGGCCUGCGAUAUGCAGACGACACUUUGUACACACCAAUACCCACACACGGAAGAACUUGGAGAUGGAAGACUCAGGAAAUUAAGCCGUAAAAAUAAUACUAUUAUUGGUACUAUUUAGUAGUAGUAGUAUUCAUAUAACAGUGUAUUUUAAGGGAUGGCGUAUUUCCGAUAAAUUAUUUCACUGUCGAGAAUGUAAAAAUCCAAAUCUAUAUAAUAUAUAAAUAUGAAAGUAUUUAUGAGUAAAGUAAAUAAUAUGACAAUUAAUAAAUUAUUUUUGUGACAGGACAGUUGAUAAAUAAUUCAAUUAUGCCCAAGAAGUAUAGGUUCUUAUGUGAAGUUUAAGUAACAAGACUGUUUUUGAAAUUUUAAACAAAGAACUUUGUUUUUUUUUUAUGAAAUAAAAGCUUAAAACUUAACAAACAA